GCGGCGAAAGGGAGAGUAACGCGUGGUUACAUACCCUCAGGACCGGGAUAGUAGCGGGAAACUGCUAGUAAUACCGGAUAACAUCUUCGGAUCAAAGGUGUGAUUCCGCCUGAGGAUUGGACCGCGUUCUAUUAGCUUGUUGGCGGGGUAAUGGCCCACCAAGGCUGCGAUGGAUACCGGGUGUGAGAGCAUGGCCCGGCUCACUGGGACUGAGACACUGCCCAGACACCUACGGGUGGCUGCAGUCGAGAAUCUUCGGCAAUGGACGCAAGUCUGACCGAGCGACGCCGCGUGCGGGAUGAAGGCCUUCGGGUUGUAAACCGCUGUCAGUUGGGAGGAAAUACUAGGGGGUUCUCCCCUUAGUUUGACCGAUCUUCAGAGGAAGGACGGGCUAAGUUCGUGCCAGCAGCCGCGGUAAGACGAACCGUCCAAACGUUAUUCGGUAUCACUGGGCUUAAAGCGUGCGUAGGCGGCCUGGUAGGUGAGAUGUGAAAGCCCACGGCUCAACCGUGGAAUUGCGUUUCAAACCACCAGGCUUGAGGAUGGCAGGGGUGAUGGGAACUGAUGGUGGAGCGGUGAAAUGCGUUGAUAUCAUCAGGAACACCGGUGGCGAAGGCGCGUCACUGGGCCAUUUCUGACGCUGAGGCACGAAAGCUAGGGUAGCGAACGGGAUUAGAUACCCCGGUAGUCCUAGCUGUAAACGAUGAGCACUGGGUUGAGGGGACUUCCACAUCUUCUCGGCCGUAGCGAAAGCGUUAAGUGCUCCGCCUGGGG
rnacentral:rRNA from 1 species